GCUCUAACCACACAACCUGCUGAGAGGGAAAUUGACUAGGAUAGCACAAGUCUAAUUAAUUUCACUCAUAGCAGGCACCAUGGGCGAAG
rnacentral:miRNA from 1 species